rnacentral:rRNA from 1 species
CCUACGGGAGGCAGCAGUGAGGAAUAUUGGUCAAUGGGCGCGAGCCUGAACCAGCCAAGUAGCGUGAAGGAUGACUGCCCUACGGGUUGUAAACUUCUUUUAUAAAGGAAUAAAGUGAGGCACGUGUGCCUUUUUGUAUGUACUUUAUGAAUAAGGAUCGGCUAACUCCGUGCCAGCAGCCGCGGUAAUACGGAGGAUCCGAGCGUUAUCCGGAUUUAUUGGGUUUAAAGGGAGCGUAGAUGGGUUGUUAAGUCAGAUGUGAAAGUUUGAGGCUCAACCGUAAAAUUGCAAUUGAUACUGGAAGUCUUGAGUGCAGUUGAGGUAGGCGGAAUGCGUGGUGUAGCGGUGAAAUGCUUAGAGAUCAUGAAGAACUCCGAUUGCGAAGGCAGCUUACUAAACUGCCACUGACAUUGAUGCUCGAAAGUGUGGGUAUCAAACAGGAUUAGAUACCCCAGUAGUC